UGGGGAAUAUUGCACAAUGGGGGAAACCCUGAUGCAGCGACGCCGCGUGAACGAAGAAGGUAUUCGUAUCGUAAAGUUCUGUCCUAUGGGAAGAUAAUGACAGUACCAUAGAAGAAAGCUCCGGCUAAAUACGUGCCAGCAGCCGCGGUAAUACGUAUGGAGCGAGCGUUGUCCGGAAUUAUUGGGCGUAAAGGGUACGCAGGCGGUUUAAUAAGUCGAAUGUUAAAGAUCUGGGCUCAACCCCGCAAAGCUUUGGAAACUGAUAAACUGGAGUAGUGGAGAGGAAAGUGGAAUUCCUAGUGUAGUGGUGAAAUACGUAGAUAUUAGGAGGAAUACCAGUAGCGAAGGCGACUUUCUGGACACAAACUGACGCUGAGGUACGAAAGCGUGGGGAGCAAACAGG
rnacentral:rRNA from 1 species